AGGGUCUCAUCCCGAAACCUCACCCAUUCCUUCUCUCCAGAGAUGCUGUCCAUCCCGCCGAGUUACUCCAGCAUUUAGCGUCUAUCUUUGGGGCAGAACAAAGCCUGGCAGAUAAUAGGUAGAUACAGUUGAGGGGGGAUAUGGGCAGA